rnacentral:rRNA from 1 species
GACGAACGCUGGCGGCGUGCUUAACACAUGCAAGUCGAACGGUGAAGCCCUUCGGGGUGGAUCAGUGGCGAACGGGUGAGUAACACGUGAGCAAUCUGCCCUUGACUCUGGGAUAACUUCGGGAAACCGGAGCUAAUACCGGAUAUGACGCAUGGCCGCAUGGUCUGUGUGUGGAAAGAUUUAUUGGUCAGGGAUGAGCU